rnacentral:rRNA from 1 species
GACAGAGGGUGCAAACGUUGUUCGGAAUCACUGGGCUUAAAGGGCGCGUAGGCGGCAGAUCAAGUCAGGGGUGAAAUCCGGCAGCUCAACUGUCGAAGUGCCUUUGAUACUGAUUUGCUCGAGGGAUAUAGGGGUCUGUGGAACUUCUGGUGGAGCGGUGAAAUGCGUUGAUAUCAGAAGGAACGCCGGUGGCGAAAGCGACGGACUGGAUAUCUUCUGACGCUGAGGCGCGAAAGCUAGGGGAGCAAACGGG